UUUAAUUUUUAUAAAUAUAUUGGUCUGCAAUAGGAUGGAAAUUAAACAAGACCAAAAACUAGUCAUCUACCAGAUAGUUGGAGGAGCACUGCCCUAGAGCUCUGGUGCGAACAGCUUGCUCUCUGUUACCAGCUCUGUGGCAAAGAGGAGACGUGCUCAGAAAUCACUUAGGCAUAAAGGAAGCAAGAAAGAAGUUACAAAAGCAUCAAGAAAGUUGGUCUAGGGGCAAGGAAUGCCGAAGACAGUGAUGAGAUCACUGUCACAUAAAGCCGGAUGGUCAGAUACAACAGUGAAAAAGAAGAUAGCAGAUCGCAUAUUGCAAAAACCACUCAAGAUGGUUCAAGAAGAUAUUGAAACUGGAAAAGUUCUCAG